rnacentral:rRNA from 1 species
GGACGAAAGUCUGACGGAGCAACGCCGCGUGAGUGAAGAAGGUUUUCGGAUCGUAAAACUCUGUUUUCAGGGACGAAUGUGUGGAUUGUAAAUAAUGAUCCAUAAUGACGGUACCUGACAAGAAAGCCACGGCUAACUACGUGCCAGCAGCCGCGGUAAUACGUAGGUGGCAAGCGUUGUCCGGAAUUAUUGGGCGUAAAGCGCGCGCAGGUGGGAUAAUCAGUCUGAUGUUAAAGUUCGGGGCUUAACCCCGUGAAGCAUUGGAUACUGUUAUUCUUGAGUGCAGGAGAGGAAAGUGGAAUUCCUAGUGUAGCGGUGAAAUGCGUAGAUAUUAGGAGGAACACCAGUGGCGAAGGCGACUUUCUGGACUGUGUCUGACACUGAGGCGCGAAAGCCAGGGUAGUGAACGGGAUUAGAUACCCCGGUAAUCCUGGCCGUAAACGAUGGGCACUAGGUGUUGGGGGUAUCGACCCCUCCAGUGCCGGAGUUAACGCAAUAAGUACCCCGCCUGGGGAGUAC